CUUGGUUUGAUUGCAAACGAUACAAAUAGUUUACUACUUUAUAAGUGAACUUGAUGCGUAAUAUGACAUCUACGCUUAGACAUUACAUAUGUGGAAAUAUUAAUGAGCUUUUGGGACCUUGGACCAUAAUCUUUCAGUAGCUGCCUUAAUGUGCAGGGAAUGCAGUGACCGAUGCACUAUCAAUAACACAACUGACUGUCCUGCCUGAUUUAUUUUGCAGUCAUCCUGGAGAAAUCACUUUGUGGUUACGACUCAGCAAAUGUUGAGGAACGUACCUCUUGCCAAAAUUACUAAACCUGAAACUGGGUUGCUACUCAGCAGAAAGAAGAAAAAACAGGCAGCUGAAGUACGCUGGAAACAGUAUCCAUUUGGGAUUGCAGGAAAAAUCAAGUGAAGGAUAAAAAGUAGUCUGCAAACAAAUCAGGCAUGUUAAGGGUCAUGCAAUGCAUCAAACUAGAAAAAGGAUUUCCCCAAAGCAAGCAUGACUGUAAGUGGAAAACUUCCUUCAGGAAAUGGGAAGGCACCUGAGCGUUUUGCAGACCUGAGAUUGCAUCCAAAUGCCUUUGCAAGGAUCCAGGCAAAAAGACUUUCCUUCUGUCCUUUCCAGUGAGACUUCAGGCAGCAGAAGCACACGUCCUCAAAGGCCAGUGCCCACAGGAGAUUAUUUAUUUGGUGAGAGGAAGAGGGGAGCAAGAGAAAGGGAUAGGAAAAGGAAAACAUGAAUAAUGUUACUGGAUUUUGCCCUGCAGGUCAAGUAAUUACAUGGAAGUCUUGACUUCCUAUUUUUCUGGCUGUACCUCUAAUUAUCUUUCUUCCAUUUAAGCAUGUUUGUGUCUGUAAGCUUGAAAAUGGUAAUCUAAAAUAUAAGAUCAAAAGUUCACUAUUUGUGAUACCGCUCAGAAAUUAAAACUAAUGCACUUCGGGGUUAAAAUAAAAAACAAACCUAAUUUAUAAGGUUUUGAAUACCC
rnacentral:lncRNA from 1 species